ensembl:snRNA U6 U6 spliceosomal RNA
AUGCUCGCUUCGGCGGCACAUAUAGCGAAACUGGAAUGAUACAGAGAACAUUAGCACGGCCCCUGGGCAAGAAUGAUACGCAAAUUUGUGAAGUGUUGCAUAUUUCU